AUCUUAAUUCUAUUUGUAGCUUGUUUUUGUACUUCAUAUUACUAACCCUGUAUCUCACUUUAGCAAAGGUUUAGUUCCAGUGAUUGUAUAUACAGUGUUGGGGUAAAGGGACUCCAGAAGGCAGACAAGGCUCGACUCCAGACUCUAGUUGAAGUAACAGAAGAGAGAGGAGUGUCCAGUGUUUAGUUGACUCCAGACUCUAGCGUAGCAGAAGGGAGAGGAGUGACGUUGUCGACUCCAGACUCUAGCGUAGCAGAAGGGAGAGGAGUGACGUUGUUUUAGUGAUCCCACAGAUUCCAGUCGACAGAUACUAUCUGUGUUCUGUGACGUGGAAAGAGUGGGUUUUGUUUUAUAGUUAUCAGUUCCAGUUUUACUUGAAGUCCUCAUCAUUCAGAAGUCCCUCAUAUAGUAAGAAGAACAUCAUCAUCAGGAGUAGUAGUUUUAAUUUAAUAGUAGUUUAAUCUAAUAGUAAAAAAGACAUUGUUUAGUUUAGUAUUGAAAUGUGUUUUAACUAUUAGUCAGAGCAGAGUAGUGUGAGUUACUGAGUCACACCAUAUCAAUCAUUCACUAUUUAAGAGAGUACAUUGUAGAGUAACAAGGUUACUUUUGACACAAGAUUUGUAUAACC